AUCAGAUAAGCGUUCGGCCAUCACAGCUGUGUUAGCAAAAACACUGAAGAAUACCGGCCCUGUAGCCGUCUUAGCCACUGAAAUAGAAACACACUGGAAUGGCCAAUCAUAGCGCAACUAGUGUUAACAAGGCGAGAUCUCGGGCCGCCAUCUUACUAAGUGCUACAUGGAUAUAUCCUUUAUACUGAGAUAUAUCCUUAUAAUGAGUCUUUAUUAAUCACAUAUACAUUACAGCGACAUUCUUUUCUUCACAUAACCCAGCAUGUCAGAGAGUUGGGGUCAGAGCACAGGGUCAGCCAUGGUACAGCGCCCCUGGAGCAGAGAGGGUUAAGGGCCUUGCCCAAGGGCCCAACAGUGGCAGUGCUGGGGCUUGAACCCCCGACCUUCUGAUCAGUAACCCAGAGCCUUAACCAAGCCACCACUGUCCCUGUAUGUAUUUAAGUACAAAUUUAGCCAAGAUCACAUUGAAUUAUUUUUCAAUGCGGUACGACGUUGCGGAGGCUGGUCUAACAAUCCCACUGCUGCACAUUUCAAAGCCACAUUUAAAUGUCUCAUCACAAGAUGUGGGGCCCUAGCCGCAGGAUCAUCAGGGAACUGCACAUCCUUUGGUGAUACAGACCUGGUACAGGCAGGAUCCAGCACUUUUGUACCUCCAACUCUAAUUAGUGAUGGCUUGGUGGUUAAGGCUCUGGGUUCCUGAUGAGAAGGUUGGGGGUUCAAGCCCCAGUACAACCAAGCUGCCACUGUUGGGCCCUUGAGCAAGGCCCUUAACCCUCUCUGCUCCAGGGGUGCCAUAUCAUGGCUGACCCUGUGCUCUGACCCCAACUUCCUAACAUGCUGGGGCAAGAUGAGGAGAUAGAAAAUAUGUGCAUGGACUAGGACUUUGUUGUCCCAAACCAGGAAGUCCUGGCAACCCUGGAAAACAUCCUUGUAUACAUUGGAGGUUGGGUGGUUAGGAACGCACUGCUGAAAGUCUCAUGCUCCACAUGCAGGGUGGCACUCAUGGCUUCAGAACCUUGGAUUAACUCAAUCAGUGAGACAGACCCUGAAUAGGACUGUUAUCUUUCUAGGACAGUGAACUGUAUAUGCACUAAUUUAAAUGACGGGUUUUACAUCCACUUUUUGCAUGUGAGUACUGAUUAGAUGAAUAUUACAAUACAGAUUGGUUUCAUUUAACAGUAUGACCAUGAAAAUAAAAAUGUGAUUAAUACAAUAGCUAAAGGUAGUCUGUAAAGUCACUUGGAAGGUUGUAUCACAAGGUAGUGCCUGAGAAAUGUGUGGGAUUUUUGUCUGAAUGUUUUGAAUCUAUUGCUUAUUAACCAACCCUGAUGGUUUGUAUUACAUAAGUUAGUCUGUUUGCUGAGGUCCUUGAAGUAUAUGCAGACAUUCUGUAAUAAUUUUUUCCCUCCAUUUUCAAAUGUUAUACAUUUCAUGCAAAAAAAAAAAAAAAAUUUAAUUACAAAUCAUAUCAGUAAUGGAUAAUCGAGAGAGUGGAGACAUAUAAAUUCCUGGGUGUUCACCUCAACAAUAAACUGACUGCUCCACAAACACAGAUGUCCUGUGCAAAAAGGGCCAAAAAGAGGUUUUUUGGUGUGUGCAGGACUCUGCUUAAAACUUUCUAUGACACUGUGGUAGCAUCUGCUAUCUUAUAUGUUUCCUGGGCAAUUGGGAGCACAGAGAGGGACAGGAAACGUCUCAACAAACUGGUUAAGAGGGCUAGCUCUGUCCUGGUCUACCCUCUGGACAGCAUAGAGGUGGUGGGGGAGAGGAGGAUGUUAGCUAAGAUGGCGUCUAUCAUGAGCAAUUCCUCUCACCCUCUGUAUGAGAUACUGGGGUCCCUCCUUCAGCAGCAGACAGCUGCACCCUCAGUGCAAGAAAGAGCGCUACCGCAGGUCCUUCAUCCCUACAGCAGUCAGACUCUUUAAUAUAACAACAUAAUGUAGCACUGCUAGCUGUUUUUUGCAUCAUCAACCCACACAUUAUUAUUAUUUGUUGCUCACCCCACUAUUGUUAACUGCGCAAUAAUACAUUUAUCCACUCAUGUAUAUAAACAAGGUGUUACACAUCUGUAUAUAUUCAAAUUUAUAUUCAUCUGUACAUACAUUGAGGUGUUCA